rnacentral:lncRNA from 1 species
GUCUCUGUCCAUAUGUUCUGGCCACUUUUUGAAUGGGGUUAUUUUUUCCUCUUAUUAUUGAGUAUUAAAAUUUCUUUAUACAUCGUGGAUUCAAGCUUUUUAUCAGACAUAUUAUUUAUAAAUAUCAUCUCAUUUUCAAAUUUGUAAUUUGAGCUCAUUUUACUCUUUAAUAUUUUAGCACAUUCAAAAAAAGAGCUAAAUUUUUAAUGUUGAUAAGAUCCAAUCUAUCAUUUCUUUUAUGAAUUACGCUUUUGUUGUUAUAUCUAAAAGACUUCUGCCUAACCCAAGGUCACAAAGAUUUUCUCCUAUGUUUACUUCUAGAAGUUUUAUAGUUUUAGGUUUUACAUCUAAGCCUCAGACCAGAGGACUUGAUUUUCAUUUUACUGAGUAAUUGUGGACAAGUCACUGUAUUAAAUUGGAUUCUACUUUCCUCAAAGCCUGGUGGGCUUGACUGAGACCAAUGUCUGAGACUUGUCCUUCUGAAGAAGUGGAUGUCUGCUGCCCACUUGUGAGAAUUGCUUGCAGCCAAACGUAAGGCCGUGGGCCCAGUUAGGCACCAGAGGGCUCAUCAGCUCAUUGUCGCCCACUUUAGUCUGCCGAGAUCCCACCCACUUGAUCUUGUCGGGAGAGAAGGCUGGUUCUUCCUCAGUCACCAGGGGCCAACGUCACCCUUGCAGAAAGUAUGAGCCACAAAGAAGUGCUACACAGCCAAUAUAUCACACCACACAUGAUGACUCACAUGUGAUUUGAACUUGUCUCUAUUUGGUUAAAUCUGGGCUCACGAAUACUUGAGAGACAAGGCCUCACUCUGUUGCCCAGGCUGGAGUGCUGUGAUGCGAUCAUGGCUCACCGCAACCUCAACUUCUUGGGCUCAAGCAAUCCUCCUGCCUAAGCUUCCUGAGAAGUGGGGACCACAGACAGAGAGGCCGUAGAGGGUUCUUGCAUCCCUUGACUUCCUGAGCAAGCCUCUUCCUGCUCUAAUGUCUACGUGGAUCAUGGGGACCUCAUGCAAUGCAGACACUAUUUCAGAAGGUCCAGGUUCCUUGCUUUGAUGAAGCAAGCUGCCAUGUUGGAGACAAAUGACUGAGGACAAUGUCCGGCCAACAAGCAGAAAGGAAAUGAAUCUACCACCAACUAUGUGGACAUGGAAGUGGAUUCUUUUCCUGUUGAGCCUUCUGAUGACUCCAGCUCAGCCGAUGCCUUGAUGCAGCUAGGUGAGAGACCUCCAGCUAGGUGACCAGCCAUCCAGUUGGCCCUGGACUGAGGGAAGUGGCUGGGAUGCAGGGCUUUCUAUUGUCUAACUGAUGCAGUUUCUAGAAACCCAUCCCAGCAUGCCUGGAAAUGAAUUUUUUGGGAUGAAGUCUUUUUGGUGCUAAGACAGGGAAAAUCCUGGGCAAAUUCUGAUGAGUUGUUCAUCUUACGCAAGAGACCCAGGUAACCUGUGCCUGGAUUCCUGAUCCACCGAAAUCAUGAGCUAAUACAUAUAGGCUGUUUUAGGCUGCUAAUUCCUGUGGCAAUUUGUUGCCGGCAAUAGAUAGGGAGAUGGGAAGGGAUUG